GCUCAAUUAUGCCGUGGCUUUGUUUGGAAAAACGAGGGCCAAGCAGGCAAUAUACCAAGAAACUGGCAAUACUUUGUCUAAAAUGGAUUUUGACAGUAGUGAUAUGGAUCAGUUGCCUACUGCUCAUUUUGGGUGUCCUUGCUUCUCCUUCUGACAGUCUGGAUUAGAGGAACCCUCUCAUGUCAACUCUGGAGGGAGAGACAGUCUUUGGACAUCUUCAGGGACGCUUCAUUCUGGGACCGAGACACAGGCCACCCUGCCCUUGAUGGAUGUCCUUCAGGACUCCCGGUGGCUGUCAUUCUGUCAGCCCCCAACCAUCUUAUCGAUUCACACAUCUCUGCUGAAGCUGAGGAAACUGGUGUGCCAAUUCCUUCGGUUCCUCUACCAGCUUUGACCUUUUCAUUUCUUUAAAACCCCCGUUUUAGAUGGAACAAAUAAACUAGGCCGGUGUAUCCACCCUCAAUGC